CCUCUAGUUUUCUCUCUCUAUAUACACAUUAACACAAAAAAACGUGUGGCCUGUUUUUGUAAUCCAGAAAUGAAGAAGGCGUCUAGUCCUUCUACUUUCUAUUUUAUUCUUGCAAAUUUUCUUAUUUUAUCAUGGUGUCUACAAAGUGAAGCCAGGAUCUUGGACUUGGAUUUGUCUUCAAUCAAAUUCAAAGGUAUUGUUCGAGGUCGGAGUAACAGGCAGAUUCCAAUCAAAGUCAAUCCUUCGCCAAUGGCAAACCCUCGUAGUCAUUAUGAUUAUAGUCCACCCCCGAUGAUAAUGUAAUGGGCAAGGAAGCUCUUAUGAAGAACCAAGAUGAAGAUGCCAAUAUGAAUGUGUUUAGAUAGGGGGGUGGGGGUGGGGGGUGGGGUGUUGCGUGUGUGUCUGCGGAGCUAGAGCUUCUUCUGCGAAUUCAAUAUAAUUUAGUUGCUUCAGCUCAAAUUCUAUAUUUUUAUUAAAAUUCAUUAAAUAUGAAUAAAUAAUUUAUCGAGAAUUGAGUAAGCUAUACUU